rnacentral:rRNA from 1 species
GACGAACGCUGGCGGCGUGCCUAAUACAUGCAAGUUGAGCGAUGAAGAUUGGUGCUUGCACCAAUUUGAAGAGCAGCGAACGGGUGAGUAACGCGUGGGGAAUCUGCCUUUGAGCGGGGGACAACAUUUGGAAACGAAUGCUAAUACCGCAUAACAACUUUAAACAUAAGUUUUAAGUUUGAAAGAUGCAAUUGCAUCACUCAAAGAUGAUCCCGCGUUGUAUUAGCUAGUUGGUGAGGUAAAGGCUCACCAAGGCGAUGAUACAUAGCCGACCUGAGAGGGUGAUCGGCCACAUUGGGACGGAGACACGGCCCAAACGCCUACGGGAGGCAGCAGUAGGGAAUCUUGGGCAAUGGACGAAAGUCUGACCGAGAAACGCCGCGUGAGGGAAGAAGGUUGUCGGAUCGUAAAACUCGGUUGGUAGAGAAGAACGUUGGUGAGAGUGGAAAGCUCAUCAAGUGACGGUAACUACCCAGAAAGGGACGGCUAACUACGUG